rnacentral:rRNA from 1 species
AUGUUGGCACGGAACCAAGUACGAGGCCCCAAUCUCUCGAUUCAUCCCUUAAAAAAAAAAGAAUCUCUCGAUUCAUCUUCUCCCCCAAAUCGCCCCCAAAUCAACUCGACCUGCCCUCCACCCCACCGCCGCCGCCCCCAAUCUCAUGUGCCCUCGCCACCGCAACCAACCACCGCACCCCCGCCUACGCCCCCAGCCACCCCGAGUCCCCGACCACUUCCUUCGUCGCCCCCAACACCCCAUCACAGCGUCGCCGAGCAUACAUCUGACACGGAUCUAAGCCGCCGCCGACCGGCCCCGUCGCCGAGCCACUCCACCGCCGACCACUGCCCUCCGCCGUCCACUGUCCUUUGCCACCACCAUACUCUGCGAGCUUCCUCCCCCGAGCAGGACUUGUCACCAGAGCACCGACCAAGCCUGCCUCCUCUACGUCCUCUGCCCCAAGCAACGGAGCGUCCGUCCCCUCCCGCGAGCAGCUCUGCCUCCUCCACUUCCUUGUCCCAAACCAGAGCAUUUGAUAGGUUGCAAGUUGUUGGGUGGCCGCCUAUUGGGAGCUACCGGAAGAACAGACUAGCCGCCAAUGCCAUAAAGACCAAGGUUGAGAACAAAGGUAGAAGCGAGGCAGGAUGCUGCUAUGUCAAGGUCAGCAUGAAUGGAGACCCAUACCUAAGGAAGGUCGAACUCAAGACUUAA